AGGACGAACGCUGGCGGCGUGCUUAACACAUGCAAGUCGAGCGAGGCCCUUCCUUCGGGAAGGUGCCCUAGCGGCGAACGGGUGAGUAACACGUGGGCAACCUGCCCCUAGCACUGGGAUAACUCCGGGAAACUGGGGCUAAUACCGGAUAUUACCUUCUUGGGCAUCCUCGAAGGUGUAAAGGAUUCUGGCUAGGGAUGGGCCCGCGGCCUAUCAGCUUGUUGGUGGGGUAACAGCCUACCAAGGCGACGACGGGUAGCCGGCCUGAGAGGGUGUCCGGCCACACUGGGACUGAGAUACGGCCCAGACUCCUACGGGAGGCAGCAGUGGGGAAUAUUGCACAAUGGGCGCAAGCCUGAUGCAGCAACGCCGCGUGAGGGACGACGGCCUUCGGGUUGUAACCUCUUUAGUAGGAAGAGCGAAAGUGACGGUACCUGCAGAAAAGCACCGGCUAACUACGUGCCAGCAGCCGC
rnacentral:rRNA from 1 species